GUGACGUUCGAGACUACGCACCACGAAGUGCGGGAGUGGGGGUACAGCCAGGCACUGGCUGAUGGAGUUGGUGCCGUUGCUGGGUGUUGGCGGCCAGGGUCUUUUCUGGAAAUUUUCGAUCGAUUUGCUGUCGACCUUCGCAAUGUAGAUGCAAGGUAUUGCGUAAUCGCCGGAAUACAUCUCACAAGCCGUGUUCCUCCGGGAGCGCGCGCAUGUUCAAAACGUGCGGCAGCUUGUUCUGCCCGCCAUGCCAUUCUGCAUGCAAAUAAUUAUAAUGUAUUCAUUCAUUCAUUCGAAAUCGUGUCAAAUCCCAGCGAGGCUAUAACUAUGGGAUUAAAAUAUAAGGAUUGUGCGGUGAAAUUUUAAAAUGAUUUAUUUCAUAACAGUAACAAAGAAACGAUUUUUCCACACAGAGUCAAACAUUGACUGUGUGCUAAUUUUUGAUUAGCAACGUAUCCCAAGAAUAUAAUUACUCUUAUCCAUAAUUAAUCUACAAUUACAAUUCACUCAGGGAAUGACAUUAUUAGUUCCAAGCACAACUGAGAAUACCUCACACAGAAAUAGCUGAUGACUUGCAAUUAAAAACAAUUGCAGUUUUAUAAA